AGUGGGGAAUCUUAGACAAUGGGCGCAAGCCUGAUCUAGCCAUGCCGCGUGAGCGAUGAAGGCCUUAGGGUUGUAAAGCUCUUUCGUGGGGGAAGAUAAUGACGGUACCCCAAGAAGAAGCCCCGGCUAACUCCGUGCCAGCAGCCGCGGUAAUACGGAGGGGGCUAGCGUUGUUCGGAAUUACUGGGCGUAAAGCGCACGUAGGCGGACCAGAAAGUCAGAGGUGAAAGCCCAGGGCUCAACCUUGGAACUGCCUUUGAAACUCCUGUUCUUGAGGUCGAGAGAGGUGAGUGGAAUUCCGAGUGUAGAGGUGAAAUUCGUAGAUAUUCGGAGGAACACCAGUGGCGAAGGCGGCUCACUGGCUCGAUACUGACGCUGAGGUGCGAAAGCGUGGGGAGCAAA
rnacentral:rRNA from 1 species